UUUGUAAUCGGUAAAUCGGUUUAAUUUAUUUUGAAUGUUCGAAAUGUAGGCUUUGGAAAUAAUGAGACAACUACUUCCUUGUUCCAGUAUCUAUACAAAUUAAAAUCUAAAAUAUUUGCCUUUGCUGUGUUUUUCAUAUAAUAUUGACAAUAAAGUAUACAAGAAGGAAGACAAUUUAUUGAAAAAAGAUACUGAAAUCUACUUUACAACAGUCUGGAACAAUUGGAUUCAAGAACACAGAUCAUUAUUACCGUCAAGAAACAAUAAUGGCUACGUGUACAUGUGUCUUGAGUCUCCUAAGAGAUAUGACUUAAAUAAACUCAAGGGUGUUACAAUUUUACAUAGUUGUUUAUCUAAGAUGAACACUGAUAUAUGAAAUUGGCUAUUGUACAUCUUGUGAAGCAAUUAAAGGGAUACUGAGAUUGGAUGUAAUAAACAGCAACAUUUUACCAAUAUCUAUAAAUCUAUGUAAAAUAAUGUGAAAAAACCAUUUUUAUAAAAUAAUUUAAUACCUUUAACUUUUUAAGAUAUAUUGUUUCUAUUGAUAUUUUUUUUAUACAAUUUUUUUAUGAAAGCUUCAAAAAUAUACAGAAUUAUGUUUGAAAAUAAUUAAAAUAAAUCCUAAUGUCUAAGUCUUAUCAUCAUAUUUUCAUUGAGUUUAGAAAAACCGAUACCGUAAUAAAUGUCAGUUCAAUUUUUUUUUAUUCUUUCCAUAAACACCGGUGCUUAAGCGUGGACGAAAAACGCAUUAUUUUCAUUACCUCAACAGUCUGAUGAUACAUCCACAAAACAUAUGUACAUAGGCAUCAAGUUUGAAAAAACUUAAUGGACGCUUUGGUAUCAGGCAUAAAUGCACAAAUUGGGGAAUGGGGCUUAGCCUCUAGUCAAUACAAUGUCCACGUAAAAUCCAAUAUUCUAAUGGGUGCCCAAUACCCCAUAAUAAUUUUAAUAAGUGUCUGAGCCCUCCGGGCACCCAUGUACAUGGCGACUAUGAAUAUAGCUCUUAAUCGAACAGUUUCCCAACUGCUUUUACUUGCGGAACCUAUGCAGGAGCUUGA